rnacentral:rRNA from 1 species
GAUGAACGCUGGCGGCGUGCCUAAUACAUGCAAGUCGAGCGAACAGACGAGGAGCUUGCUCCUCUGACGUUAGCGGCGGACGGGUGAGUAACACGUGGAUAACCUACCUAUCAGACUGGGAUAACUUCGGGAAACCGGAUCUAAUACCGGAUAAUAUAUUGAACCGCAUGGUUCACUAGUUAAAGAAGGUUUUUCUGUCACUUAUAGAUGGAUCCGCGCCGCAUUAGCUAGUUGGUAAGGUAACGGCUUACCAAGGCAACGAUGGGUAGCCGACCUGAGAGGGUGAUCGGCCACACUGGAACUGAGACACGGUCCAGACUCCUACGGGAGGCAGCAGUAGGGAAUCUUACGCAAUGGGCGAAAGCCUGACGGAGCAACGCCGCGUGAGUGAUGAAGGUCCUCGGAUCGUAAAACUCUGUUAUUAGGGAAGAAGAAAAGUGUAAGUAACUAUGCACGUCUUGACGGUACCUAAUCAGAAAGCCACGGCUAACUACGUG